CCCGCUGCUCCCGGCUCAGCUUCCGCUCAGCGUCCGUGAGGGAGGGUGUGGGUGCUGGGCCCCGCCCCAGGGCUCGGAGUUGACCUGGAGCCCCGGAACCGAGAAGGAAAUGAAGGUGGGGCCAAGAGACGGAAGCAGGAGAAAACUUGUUGGUACCCGAGCGCGGGCAGCGGCUGGAACCCGAGAUACGGCGUCCAUGGCACCUCGGGGCAGGGGCGCAGGCUUCGGAGACACCGUGGACUUGGGACUUAGAAGCGAGGUCCCUUCUUCCUGCUGGAUGAGCCUGGAGUGUGCUCCCUGGGGCAGAGCUGGGCGGCAGGCGCCCUGGGAAAGGUGAGGACCCGGUGAGGAGAUGGAAGACUGUGAACCAGACUCUGAACCUGCCAGAGCCUUGAUGCAGACGUCGCAGCCCCAGAACACUACCAGCCUGUGCCACAGCCACAGCAAUGCGAGAUCCGAGC